rnacentral:rRNA from 1 species
AUUGAACGCUGGCGACAUGCCUUACACAUGCAAGUCGAACGGCAGCACGGGUGCUUGCCCCUGGUGGCGAGUGGCGAACGGGUGAGUAAUACAUCGGAACAUGUCCUGUAGUGGGGGAUAGCCCGGCGAAAGCCGGAUUAAUACCGCAUACGAUCUACGGAUGAAAGCGGGGGACCUUCGGGCCUCGCGCUAUAGGGUUGGUCGAUGGCUGAUUAGCUAGUUGGUGGGGUAAAGGCCUACCAAGGCGACGAUCAGUAGCUGGUCUGAGAGGACGACCAGUCACACUGGGACUGAGACACGGCCCAGACUCCUACGGGAGGCAGCAGUGGGGAAUUUUGGACAAUGGGCGAAAGCCUGAUCCAGCAAUGCCGCGUGUGUGAAGAAGGCCUUCGGGUUGUAAAGCACUUUUGUCCGGAAAGAAAUCCUUGGCCCUAAUACGGUCGGGGGAUGACGGUACCGGAAGAAUAAGCACCGGCUAACUACGUG